rnacentral:tRNA from 1 species
GCGCCCGUAGCUCAGCUGGACAGAGCAGGAGCCUUCUAAGCUCUUGGCCGGGGGUUCGAAUCCUCCCGGGCGCA